rnacentral:rRNA from 1 species
UGGGGAAUAUUGCACAAUGGGGGAAACCCUGAUGCAGCGACGCCGCGUGGAGGAAGAAGGUCUUCGGAUUGUAAACUCCUGUUGUUGAGGAAGAUAAUGACGGUACUCAACAAGGAAGUGACGGCUAACUACGUGCCAGCAGCCGCGGUAAAACGUAGGUCACAAGCGUUGUCCGGAAUUACUGGGUGUAAAGGGAGCGCAGGCGGGAGAACAAGUUGGAAGUGAAAUCCAUGGGCUCAACCCAUGAACUGCUUUCAAAACUGUUUUUCUUGAGUAGUGCAGAGGUAGGCGGAAUUCCCGGUGUAGCGGUGGAAUGCGUAGAUAUCGGGAGGAACACCAGUGGCGAAGGCGGCCUACUGGGCACCAACUGACGCUGAGGCUCGAAAGUGUGGGUAGCAAACAGGAUUAGAUACCCUUGU